UACGUAGGGCGCAAGCGUUGUCCGGAAUUAUUGGGCGUAAAGAGCUCGUAGGCGGUCUGUUACGUCCGCUGUGAAAACCCAGGGCUUAACCCUGGGCUUGCAGUGGAUACGGGUAGACUAGAGGCAGGUAGGGGAGAAUGGAAUUCCCGGUGUAGCGGUGAAAUGCGCAGAUAUCGGGGGGAACACCGGUGGCGAAGGCGGUUCUCUGGGCCUGACCUGACGCUGAGGAGCGAAAGCGUGGGGAGCGAACAGG
rnacentral:rRNA from 1 species